rnacentral:tRNA from 1 species
GCGGUUGUCGCACAACGGCAGUGCGCUGCCUCGCCAUGGCAGAGAUCCGGGUUCGACUCCCGGCUACCGCUCCA